rnacentral:lncRNA from 1 species
ACAAUUUAGGAAUUCUCUAAGAUAAUGUAGGUUUUCUCUACCAUGCCUCCCAGUUCCUUCUGAACCCUCACCAGUAGUUGCUUUAUCAUUCAUAUUUCUACUUAUGCUUUGUUCAAAGAAAUCAAGCCUUCUUCUAUCAUGUUCCUCAAUUCUUGCAGACUCUGCCCAUCACCCAUUUCUGAAGCCACUUUCACCCUACUUCCAGUUACAAAAACCUAUAGUAGUUUCCUGCUGCUGUGAGCUAAACUAAGGCAGUUGAAAGGGCUAGUUCCUUUUGGUUGCUCCAGGGGAAAAAUUUAGCCUAUCUUUCCAGCCUCUGGCACCUGCUGGAAGUCUUGAGUUUGUGUCCACAUCCCAUAUGCAGAGGGCAAAGACCAGUAAUGCUUCCUAUCCACAUUUACUCAAGAAAUAAUUGUAAGUAGAUGAUAUGCACCAAACACUGGAUCUAAUUGCAAAACAAACAAACAAAAAAACACUGUAAAAUCAAGUUUAUCAAUAUUCUCAUAUCUUAAAUGAGGACAAGAUCUGUAGAUUUAAAAAAAACUCAUGUGACUUUAUAUAUAAAGCAGUUGAAUAUUGUUCUAAGGCAUAGAUUAAGCAGUUCUUCUGCUGCAUGUACCAUUAAAUAUAUUAUCCAGUCCACUAAGUUAUGUAAGAAAAUGCUCCUAUGCCCCAAAUCAGAAGGCGAGUUGUAUUCAAUUAGGCUUACAAUUUUGAAAGAACACAUCUACUUGAAAAGUUUUCUAAUCAUUCAUUCUUUCUUGAACUUCAGUAUCAAGAUUGAAGGGAAGUUUAGCAUUUGUUCAGCAGAGGUAUGGUUUUUGAAAGGGAAAAUUAUUAGAGCUUUAGCAAAAUGGAACUAUUAUAUUCAUGAAGUAUUGUUAUUUUCUCAUACUUGUUUUCUAAAGGUCAGCUCAAUUGUUAUUAUACAUCAACAGGGUAGUUAUAAGGCCGACUACUUAGUGCUCUCCUAGAAAUCUAUUUUUGCCAUCUAGUUUUGAUUUUCCUGAUCCUCCUCCCUGAUUUUUCUAACAGAUUAAAUAGUGCUUAUAGGCAAUGCUAGUUGAUAAAUCUUGGGCUAAGGAGAUUGCAUAUACUACUGCUUUUUACGUCUCAUCCUAACCCAGUAUUUCUCCAUUCUAGUUCAUUGUCAUCUCCCUUUUUUUUCUUUUUUUUUUUUGAGGAAAUUAUAUCCCCAAAGUUGACGGAGCACCCAUUGCUAUCAAGGCGCCAAAUUGAAUACACACACACUUUUAUCCCAUUUACUUCACUCUGGUUUUUUCUUCUGUCUACUUGGGCUUUUGAAUUCUUUUUGCCUCUAAACCUGAAAAGAAGUAACUAGGUUAGAGAGCAGACAUUGAGAGUACAAAGACAGUGAUGUCAAAGAGAUGUUGUUAAUCCUCCCCACAGCCUGACUGUACUGAGGACAUUUCUCAUUGUAUAGUUGAAAAUUGGAAAUAUCUAUGAGUUUAUUAGAGCUCUUCUUUUCCAAGUUCUAUUGAACCAGAGAAGAGUAGAAAGCUUAAAAAUAGUAGGAUUUGGAAAGUCAUUGAAUUUAAUCCUCUCCUUUGUGGACAAGGAAAUCCAGAGGAAUUCAAGGACUUGCCCAAGAUAGGGCCAGGAUCUGAAUUUGAACUUAAUGACUAAGUCGAGUAUUCUUUCUGCCACACUUUACAACCUCAAUCAAGUGAAGAAUAAAAAAACUUUGUUCUGAUGCUCUAUCUUGCUAUCUUAGAUGAAUUCAUUCCUAAGUCUUACUUUUAGGAAAUCCAAAUAUCACAUAUAACAAAACUAUUUAGUUACAUUCAUUAAUGCUCUAAUAAAGCACACAUAAAGCACUAAAAUUAAAUUAAGAAACUGUUAAAUAGUAAAAUUAUGAAUUAUUAAAUUUGAUUUUUUCCUUCUACAUGAUCUGGAAAACUCCAGGUUUGAUUUUUUUUAUUGUGUUAGCCAGUUCUCCAGACUGUAUUAAACUCUCUGAGACCUGUUGAUUUUUUACCUUUUUAAUUUAUCAAGAAAAUCACAAUAAAUUUAAAUAAUGAUACUUUAAGAUUAUUAACAUUUACCCUUGCCUUAGAUGACUUUGGGUUUAAGACAAAAUGCAGUGCAUCAUAUUCUUAUAGUUGAGCUCGGCUUUUAGAAACUUGAAUAAAAAUAUAUUCAACAAAAGUAGAAUCCCAAUCUUCCCAAACAAUAUUAGUUUAAUAAGUAAAUAUGUAUUAGUUACUACUACAAACAUUUCUUUCAUGAUCAAUUAGGUGAGUUAAUAACACGGUAGAUUCAAUUGAAACCUUAACACUACACAGAAAUCUUGCAAUUUCUCUUUAUUUAGUUUUCAGUCUCCUGCUCUGCUAAUCUACUUUUUCAUAGUUUCUCUUCCAAAAAUCAUCCUUUUUUGAUCACUCUUGUUAUGCAUAUCCCCGUUAUUUCCAGUAUUUCAUAGUCUUAACAUGAAAACCUUUGUCCUACAUAUGUACUCAUCCUCAUGCUAUUUAUCCACCUUAGUGGCAGUGGAAGGAAUACAUGGCCCAUCAAUGAUGGUAAUUUUACAUUGAUUUCUUCCUAUGUUUUCAGAGUCUUUCCUUUGCCCUCUACUUUAUUCUCAUUGUUUACUGGACUUUCAAUGUCUAUCUCAGGACAAGUCACUUCCAUUAUCACCUAUACUCAUUUUCUCCAAUUAGAAAUUAAUAAAAGAAACACUUUCUUGAUCUUAAAAAUUCUUCAGGAGUUCCCGUCGUGGCGCAGUGGUUAACGAAUCCAACUAGGAACCAUGAGGUUGCGGGUUUGAUCCCUGCCUUUGCCCAGUGGGUUAACGAUCCGGCGUUGCUGUGAGCUGUGGUGUAGGUCGCAGACGUGGCUCGGAUCCCGCGUUGCUGUGGCUCUGGGGUAGGCUGGGGGCUACAGCUCCGAUUCAACCCCUAGCCUGGGAACCUCAAUAUGGCGUGGGAGCGGCCCAAGAAAUAGCAAAAAGACAAAAAACAAAACAAAACAAAUUCUUCGCUGUUACUAAAUUCAGCUGUUAUUAAAUUUCCCAUCUCUUUGAUAACUAAGCUUCUUGAAAGCAAUAUACUAAUGUCUACCUGAUUCAGAUUCACAAUUCCUAAAGUUUGAAAUACUGUGAAAUACUUCAAACAACAUAAAGAACAAAACCACAUAACACAUAGCCAUGUACCACCUACCCCAGAUUUAAUUAAUAUGGGAUUUUUUUUUUUUUUGCUAUAUUUGCUUUGGAUCUUUUUUCAAAGAAAUAUUAAUAUUAUGGACACAAUUAAAUCACCCCUCAUUUAAGUCCCAUUCCUUCAUUUUCCAAAGGUUGACUAUUAUAUUUCUUCUAUAAUUUCUAUAUUUUAUAAUGUUUAUAUCUAUCCAUAAAUUAUAUAUGGCACUUGGAUAUGGUUUAUGUAGAUAUAAAUAAAUAUUAAUACAUUUGUAUAUUAUGUUAACACAUGGAGAUGUAAUUCAUUUAUGCUACUUUUUUUGGGGGGGGCUGCAUUCAUGACAUAUGGAAGUUCCCAGACUAGGGUCCAAUUGGAGCUACAGCCACCAGCCCAUGCCACAGCCACAGAAAUGCCAGAUCCGAGCCAAAUCUGUGACCUACACUGCAGGUCAUGGCAAGGCCAGAUCCUUAACCCACUGAGUGAAGCCAGGGAUCAAACCCACAUCCCCAUGGACACUAGUUGGGUUCGUUACCACUGAGCUAUGAUGGGAAUUCCUACAUUACCUUUAAUAUAGUGUUCCACAGCAUGAAUAUAGCAAAAUUUAUUUACCCAUUCUUAAAUUGAUGAACAUUUAAGUUGUCAAGUUUUUAUUCUCAUGAACAGUUCUACAAUAACUGUGUUCGUUUAUAUUUCUUUGCAUGCCUGAAAUUGUUUCUUUAGGUUGACUAUUGAUGGCCACUUGUACUGUACCUUCAAUUUAUGGGGUGUAGUCCAAUUGUUUUCAAUGUGAUUAAACCAAUUUAUACUUCCGUCAGUGGUACAUGGGUGUUCCUUUAUUCCCCACCUUCUUAAUACUUGCUUUUAUCAGACUCAGAUAAUUUUGCUUACUGAGGGAUAUCAAAUAGUCCUUGUGUUUUUUGUUUAUUAGUGCAUGGCAAAUUGUCCCAAAACUUAAUGGCUUAAAAUGGUAACACUGAUCUUAUAGCUUUGGUGAGCUGUAAAUCCAUGCUUAUCUAGUUAUCUCUGCUUCAAGUUCUAUCACAGGUGACAAUUGUGUGUUAGCUAGGGCUCUGUUCUUAUGUGAAGGCUACAGUGGGGAAGAUUAACUUUCUAACCUUACUUAAAUGGCUGUUAGCAGGAUUCAGUUUGUUAGGUGCUGUUAUACUGAGGAUCAUGUGCAGUGAUCCUCCUUGGCUAUUGGGUGCCUUUUGUACAGAGAAGCUGACAGUAUGGAAACAAAUUUCUCCCGAAUCAAACAAGAGAUUUAAAGAACAUAAGCAUGAGAGAAAACAUGAUCUUUUUGUCUUUUUUAUCUCAUAAAGGGACGUCUUAUCACUUUUGUCAUGUUUUACUUAUUAGUAGCAACUCAUUAGGUCCAGCUCACACGUAAGGGAAGGAGAUUCUAUAGGGGCAUAAACACCAGGAGGCAACAGAUGUCACUGAACGCCACCUUAGAGGCUGCCUACCUCAGUAUUUCAUGUUGUCACAUUUCCCUGAUUAUUAAUUGGAUACCUUUUUAUAUGUUCUUGGCCAUUAAGGUUUCUGUUUUGUGAGCUGUUUGCAUUUUUCUCUCUUUUUUUUUUUUCAAUCUAGUUAUGUUUGUUUACUUUUCUCUUAAUAUGUAGAUAUUUUGGGUGUAUUCUGGAUAACAAUCUUAGUUUAAGUUCAUGAACUGGAGCCUAUUCACUCUUCAGCCUGCUUUAAUUUGUUAUCCUUCCCACCCAUUUUGCCAAAUUCCAUUACCAAAACCACUCUUGUAGGGUUGUCAUUGAUUUUCAUAUUGUUAAAUUCAGUAGAUGCUUUUCAACUCCCAUCUUAAUUGACUUGUUGGCAGCAUUCAAUAUAGAUGUGUACUUUGAUCAUUUAUCUUAAAAAUAUUUUUUGAAUCUCACCUUUAAGUCAGGUAUACUAUUUGUUCUUGACUUGUGUGACACUAUCAUAGAUUAGUUUUUCAUCUUCCACUAUGGCUGCUAUUUAUCAGACUCUUUUGCCUGGUUUUCUACCUCUGCUUGACCUCAAAAUGUUUGAAUUUAUUGAUAUUAUUCCUGACACUCUCUCCCUGGGGACUUUAUUCAGUCCUAUAGAUUUAUACUUAUCAUUAUGCCAGCAGUCUUCACAUUUACAUCUCCAGAACCACAUCACCAGUCUCCUAGGUAAUAUAUUCAGUUGGAUUGCUUUCAGGCCUCUCCGAGUUAAUAGGAUUAAAUCUGAAAUUUUGAUGAUCCCUAUGCUUUGGUUGCAUUACAAAUUUUACUUAGUUGGUGAUACCAUAAAACCAGAAACUAACUAUGAUACUUCCUUGUCUCUUUAAACAUAAGAUCCUGUGUGUAACACCAACUCACACCUCUUCUCUACUCAACAGCUCUCAC